UAUUUGUUAUUUAAUCUCUUCAAAUUGUUUCAACAAUUGGUUUUUGAAUUAUUUGUCUAAAUCUUCCUCAACUUUGGUGCCAAUGAGAUCAGCUUUCUGGCAUUUUAAGAGCUUUUUCAUUUGUUAUUUCUUGCUUUGUCAUUUUAGUUUAUUAUCAGAAAAAUAAGGGAAAGGAUCAGGGGAUGGCUCGAGGUGGGAGGGAGUAAGGGAAAGGGGAUGAAACAAAGAAUUAAUAUGUGUCAUGUACACUGGAUCAACUUCCUAUAUAGAAUUUAAAAGUUUUUGGCAGCAUCUUUCUUGCUUCAUUUUCUUAUGUUUCUAUUCUUUUUGAGCCAAGAUUUGAAUAUCAAUUUGAGUAGACAAAAUCUUUUGUACUGUAAAAAUCUCAUUAGUUACUGUUUUUCUACCUGGGAUGUGACCUUGAUUUUUGUUAUAUCUUUUUUGUCAAACAAAUCAAUAUAAUAAGAUCCAUCCUGGUACCUGGGAUUCAAGGAAAGAUGAAUUAUCAAUUAAAUUAGCAUCUACAAUGAGUUCACCCUUUUAAAAAAUAAUUUAGUAGAAGUGAUAAUUAUUCUGGCAUGUAAAGGAUAGGGAAAACUGAAAGAAAAUAUUUUGAAAAUAGGGAAGAAGAAAAGGGAGAUAGUAGCAAAUGAAAAAAAAAGAUACAAUUUUAGGAAUAUUAUUGCUAUGUCUUGGAGAUAGUAGCAAAUGAAAAAAAAAGAUACAAUUUUAGGAAUAUUAUUGCUAUGUCUGGAAUGGAAGGAGGGUUAAAAGAGCAAGAAUAAGAAAGAAAGGAAGUAUAAGGGCAGGGGAAGCAGUAAGAAAAUCAGAACCAAUUAAUAGCUAAUAGAAUGGUUGUGUGUGAUCCUCCACACUAAAUUUCUAGUGAGGGCUAGCCGAACAUGAUUUUAAAAGAUACUAUUCAAAUUAAUCUACUAGUUAGCUUUUAUUUUUUCACAUAUAUAUGGCUAGAGGAGAAAAGUAAAUCAGGAAAAAUUACAUACACAUACAAACAUGCAAAAGUCAAUAGUCCAUUCAGUCCAAACUAGUGUACACUUCUCCUUACAAUGUUACAGAGAGUUUAUCUUGUAGGAGUUUGGGGGGACUGGACUCCAUUUCUCUGUGAUUGGCUGUUUCCUCUCCUAAAGGUUUUUCACUUGACUACCAGUGUGUGAGGGGGAUUAGGGUUCUUGGCAGAUUGCUGAGCUUCUCAUUACCUCUGAAGGCAAAACUACAUUAGGUAUCAGGUGUGUUCCCUUUGGUGUCACUGGGCAAAACUUUUUUGUGUGUAGCAUGAUCAGACUUUAAAUGUAUCAGAAAUGAUAUGAUAUAACAAGACUGGUCAAGCAUUCAGUCUUUGACCUCUUGAUGGACUUCCUCAAUUUUGAUGUCCUUUCCUGCACAGUCCUUCUUGGAGAAGUUAUAUCUCUUUCUGUCUUUCCAGGUGAGUGCACUAUGCAAUAUCUAUUCAUCCCAAUGCUCUUCUUUGGUUUUCUACCCACAUCACACUCCUUUCAAAUAAUCUCUAUACCACCUAUAGAUACAAUGUGUUUUCUGCUUUGCAGAGGAGUGCACAUCUACUUGGAAUUCAGAAUGCUUUGGGAGCCAAUGGCAAGAAUGUACAUGGGCCUGAAGCUGAGGUACUUUUGUUGGCUGUAGGCUGCAGCUCACACAGAUGCUUGUGCACCAUCCCACCCUGACUUGGAGCCUGCUAAUUGUGGAUUGAAACCUCUACAGAUCCUGAGCUAAAUAAACCUUUCUUCUUUUAA